rnacentral:rRNA from 1 species
GAUGAACGCUGGCGGCGUGCCUAAUACAUGCAAGUCGAGCGAACAGACGAGGAGCUUGCUCCUCUGACGUUAGCGGCGGACGGGUGAGUAACACGUGGAUAACCUACCUAUAAGACUGGGAUAACUUCGGGAAACCGGAGCUAAUACCGGAUAAUAUAUUGAACCGCAUGGUUCAAUAGUGAAAGACGGUUUUGCUGUCACUUAUAGAUGGAUCCGCGCCGCAUUAGCUAGUUGGUAAGGUAACGGCUUACCAAGGCAACGAUGCGUAGCCGACCUGAGAGGGUGAUCGGCCACACUGGAACUGAGACACGGUCCAGACUCCUACGGGAGGCAGCAGUAGGGAAUCUUCCGCAAUGGGCGAAAGCCUGACGGAGCAACGCCGCGUGAAUGAUGAAGGUCUUCGGAUCGUAAAACUCUGUUAUUAGGGAAGAACAAAUGUGUAAGUAACUAUGCACGUCUUGACGGUACCUAGUCAGAAAGCCACGGCUAACUACGUG